rnacentral:rRNA from 1 species
GUGGGGAAUAUUGCGCAAUGGGCGAAAGCCUGACGCAGCGACGCCGCGUGAGGGAUGAAGGUUUUCGGAUCGUAAACCUCUGUCAGAAGGGAAGAAAGUGCGUGGUGCUAAUCAGCCGCGUAUUGACGGUACCUUCAAAGGAAGCACCGGCUAACUCCGUGCCAGCAGCCGCGGUAAUACGGAGGGUGCGAGCGUUAAUCGGAAUUACUGGGCGUAAAGCGCACGUAGGCUGUUGUGUAAGUCAGGGGUGAAAUCCCACGGCUCAACCGUGGAACUGCCCUUGAUACUGCAUGACUAGAAUCCGGGAGAGGGUGGCGGAAUUCCAGGUGUAGGAGUGAAAUCCGUAGAUAUCUGGAGGAACAUCAGUGGCGAAGGCGGCCACCUGGACCGGUAUUGACGCUGAGGUGCGAAAGCGUGGGGAGCAAACAGGA